CUGAUCCGUUAUGGAGAUGUUGCUGAAACAGAACAACCUUGGCAGGCUGGUUAUAACACUGUGGACUCUACAAGUUUUUUCACGAUCCCUAAAGCGAAUGUCUCUGACCUCUCUUCAAGCAGCAAUAUCAACUUGACGGCUUCAUGGUUUUUCCACGUUGAUGGCUCACCAAUCCUGCCAGCUAAUUUCCUACCUUUUGGAAAUAGAGAAAGAGUAACUCCGCGUUUGGAGGAUGGAAGCUCUGAAACCAUUGCAUUACAAC